rnacentral:rRNA from 1 species
AGAGUUUGAUCCUGGCUCAGAACGAACGCUGGCGGCAGGCCUAACACAUGCAAGUCGAACGCCCUAGCAAUAGGGAGUGGCAGACGGGUGAGUAACGCGUGGGAACGUACCCUUCGGUCUGGAAUAACCCAGGGAAACUUGGGCUAAUACCGGAUACGUGCGAGAGCAGAAAGAUUUAUCGCCGAAGGAUCGGCCCGCGUCCGAUUAGCUAGUUGGUGAGGUAAAAGCUCACCAAGGCGACGAUCGGUAGCUGGUCUGAGAGGAUGAUCAGCCACACUGGGACUGAGACACGGCCCAGACUCCUACGGGAGGCAGCAGUGGGGAAUAUUGGACAAUGGGCGAAAGCCUGAUCCAGCCAUGCCGCGUGAGUGAUGAAGGCCCUAGGGUUGUAAAGCUCUUUCGCCAGGGACGAUAAUGACGGUACCUGGAUAAGAAGCCCCGGCUAACUUCGUGCCAGCAGCCGCGGUAAUACGAAGGGGGCUAGCGUUGUUCGGAUUUACUGGGCGUAAAGGGCAUGUAGGCGGUUCUGUAAGCCUGACGUGAAAGGCUAUGGCUCAACCAUGGCAUUGCGUUGGGAACUGCGGGACUUGAGUCACGGAGAGGGAGCUGGAAUUCCAGGUGUAGGGGUGAAAUCUGUAGAUAUCUGGAAGAACACCAGUGGCGAAGGCGAGCUCCUGGCCGAUGACUGACGCUGAGGUGCGAAAGUGUGGGGAUCAAACAGGAUUAGAUACCCUGGUAGUCC